rnacentral:rRNA from 1 species
ACUUACCAGGUCAAGACAUGGGCGUGAUUGACAGGCUAAUGACUUUUCUCGAUUCCAUGGAUGGUGGUGCAUGGUCGCACUUAGUUGGUGCAGUGAUUUGUCAGGUUUAUUCCGGUAACGAACGAGACCUCGGCCUUGUAAAUAGCUAUGCUGCUUACAGGGACAUUGGCGGCUACGCCAAGGAAGCUCGAGGCAAUUGCAGAUCUGGAAUGCCCUUAGAUGUCCUGGGUCGCACGCGUGCUACAAUGACGCCACGAACGAGCUUGCGUGAUGAAAGUUACGCAUAAUCAGCAGUCGGCGUCUUAAGGGAUAGUCUCUUGUAACUGUGGGACUCCAACUAGGAAUGUCUCGUAAGCACAAGUCAACAUCUUGUGUUGAUUACGUCCCUGCUCUUUGUACACACCGCCCGUCGCUCCUACCGAUCGAGUGUUUAGGUGAAUUUGAUGGACGUAAGGAAGUCAAAUAAACCUGAGCACUGAGAGGAAGGAGAAGUCGAUAGG